CCUCGCGCGCCACGCGGGCCACGCGGGCCGGCCGCAGCGCGUCCCCGCCGGGAGCCAGCACCGAGUCGCCAGCGCGUAAGCGGCGCGCGAACACCGGUGCGAAGUCACCUGGAGCGGGCGCUGGCCCGCGGGCGGCGAACACCAGAUGCCAGGGUGUGAGCAACAGUUUGCGCGGAGGCCGCUCGGUCUCCACAGCCACGAACGAGGCGCGGCGCUGCAGGUCCCGGUCCAGGAAGAGCAGGACUGGCGUGGGUACCACUCGGCCCGCUGCAUCAGCGGCCAGUACCCAGUCACCACGGUGGAGUUCCCUCAGCCCUUUCCGUUCGCCGCUCCGCAAGCGCACCGUGGCAUUUCCCGGAAAGCAGCCUCCGGCUCGGACCGCCAGUGAGUUAUCUGCAAUCAGAAAAAGGAUUAAGUCCAGAUCGGCCAGUGCAAGUUUCAGCUAGAGGCAAGGACCGCAAUGCCCCACGACCAAGGAGAGGAAGGGAUGGCCCUUCCCAAUUUACUGGAAAGUGGGUGGCUUCAUCACUGGAGCAAGAAGGAAUUCUGGACUUGGAGUGACUGGUUCUCACCUUUAAUCGCAGCAAUCAGGAGAUGCCUAGAUUUGUUUCAAGUCACCAAAAAGCAACUAUGAUGAUAACAAACCCUGCUUGCUAUUGUGAAGGUGAAGAGAUGGAUCAGUUGCUUUCCCAAAGGACCGAGGCUUGAUUGCCAGCACCCACUCUGCAGAUGAUCCAUGUUUCCAAUACCAGGGGAUCCAACACCUUCUUCUGGCCCCCACAGGCACUGAACUCACAUGGCACACAGACAUACAUUCAGGCAAGAAACUCAUAUACACAAAUAAA